GUUGAUAUUAAUAUUGUAGUAAGGGAUAACAUUGAUGGCCCAACUUUACGAACAACCGGACAUGUGUAAACUUGUUUCUUAAGUUACCCAGUAGCAACCCAAACCAAUGGUAUUUUGCCCAGAGAUUACAUACCAAGUUUAAGCAAUGCAAAGGCAUCAUCAUCGAACUCAUCCAUUUCUCCUUUAUUUUCCCUGCUUUUCCAAGCAAUCUAAUUUCUGUCCCCCUGCUUUAGGUUCCGGUUAUUUAUUCUUUCAGUCCUAAUUAAUAUUUAAUAAGCAGGAACAGAAGAGAGUCUGAAAAUGAAGAUUUGAGAAGAUGUGGAAGGAGAAGUCCAAGGUUGGUGCCUUAAUUGUAGUUUACUUGUUUCUAUUAUUAAUUUUGUCAUGUAUAGGUAUUUGAACUUUGGAGAGCUGCUUCGGUUGGCAUUUUGCUCUUGCUACUGGAAACCAAUAUUUAAGAGUAUUUUUUAGUCUGAACCUUGACCUUGCGUUGUUCUCGCAUGAUACUACUAAUCAUGCUAUACUGCACAUCAGUGGUUUAAUUUUAUAGAUAUGUGUGUGCAAGAACAACAUUAAAGACUAUUUUUAAUUUGAAACCUUGACCAUGUUAUGUAA